UACAUGGGGUGCAAACGUUGCUCGGAAUUAUUGGGCGUAAAGCGCACGUAGGCGGUCGCUUAAGUCGGAUGUGAAAGCCCUCGGCUCAACUGAGGAAGUGCAUCCGAAACUGAGUGGCUAGAGUAUGGUAGAGGGUCGCGGAAUUCCCGGUGUAGAGGUGAAAUUCGUAGAUAUCUGGAGGAACACCGGUGGCGAAGGCGGCAUCCUGGACCGGCAUUGACGCUGAGGCGCGAAAGCCAGGGGAGCAAACGGG
rnacentral:rRNA from 1 species